rnacentral:lncRNA from 1 species
CUCAGCCAGCGGGUGCCUGGGGAUGUUCAGAGACCAUGAAACCAUCCUGCAUGACUUGCUGCCAUUAGGAACCUCUCAUGAAGCACUUCUUGCUAGAAGCACUGCCAUCUUGCUGAAGCUGAGCACUGCAGAACCUACUUCAUGCCUAACACUUUUGGGAAUUAAAAAUUGCCUGACACUCCCCAAGAGCAUUGAAUGCAGUACAGAUCUAGAGGGGAAAGGAUGCUUUUCAUAAUAUGGAUAUGAAGACUCCUGAAUACUCAAACAGAAAGCCUUUCUGUGUAUGAAAGAGAGGAAUCCUCACACUUAAGGACAGACUUAAACCCAGCAAUCAGAUCACUGCUCUGCCACACUUGCAAUUUGAAAUACCAUUUAGGAUAUGCUAGCAGGAUAUUACUAUAGCCUUUUUUGAAGAAUAUUUUCUUCCUGUGGUCCAUUUUAUCUCUGCCAGUUGUAAGUUAUUUCAAACUGGAGUUGACUGUCUGUAGCUCCUGAGGCACACCAGCUACCAUGCUGCAAUGCAGCACUGACCUCUGUGUUCUGGAUGACUCCAAUAGAAUUGUUCGAGUCAUUUGACAUUAAAAUAAUGUUCAGUGACUCUGUCAUUUUCAACCAAUUUCCUGAAUAAUUUCAAAUCUAUUAAUAUACAGGAAACUGCUGCUUGACAAAGGUUGGAUUCUGUGAAUGCAGGAGCACCAGUUAAUUUUUAACUUCCCUUAUUAUCUGAAAUGAAACCUGAUAUGACAGACUCAUUUUCAAUACCAGAUAGUGAGGAAGAUGGAAGCAAUGCACACAACUGACAUUCUUGCCUGAAAAAUUGCACUGAUCUUUUAUUUCCCUUGUAGUCCAAUGUUUUACAUGAAAAAAAAAACAAAGCUAAGCUAAAAAUAUAAUGCUACUGCACAAGGCUUAGGAGACUUUGCUCCAAAAACUCACAGAAAUUCAGGAGAAGAGAUUUGAUUUUAAACAGGAAUUUUGCCCUUACACUUGUAGCUUAUUAACUGAGAAUGUUGAUUACAGUUAUGAAAAGCCAGCAACAUUUUCUUUCUUUAUCAGGCUUCUUGGCUGGAAUAAAAACAGAGGAGCUAACUGAUCUAUAAUAGGC